rnacentral:lncRNA from 1 species
GAAAAAGGAGGUUUUUUAUUAGUGUGCUCGCGAAGAUCUAGCAAUCUCCUGCCUACGUAUCCUUAUAGUGCAAUAAGGAAAUAAGAGCAUUCGUAGUUCGGGGAACUACGGUUGGUUAGUGUCUUUUUAAUGAAAGACUGUUUAGAUCACGUUCUAAAGGCUAAACGUUGGUUUGUCUACUCUCGGCGGAGGCUGAAGCACUAGUUUGUUAUGCGCAUUAGAAAUGAUUAAACAAUGUUA